GUGCCAGGUUUGGCAGCACAUAUACUAAAGUUGGAACAAUACAGAGGUUAGCACGACCCCUGCGCAAGGAUGACACGCAAAUCCGUGAAGGGUUCCAUAUAUUU
rnacentral:snRNA from 1 species